GCGGGGGUGCCGGAGCGGCCAAACGGGACAGGCUUAGGACCUGUUGGCUUAGUGCCUACGUGGGUUCGAAUCCUACCCCCCGCA
rnacentral:tRNA from 1 species